rnacentral:rRNA from 1 species
CAGUCGCCGCGGUAACACGUAGGUCCCGAGCGUUGUCCGGAUUUAUUGGGCGUAAAGCGAGCGCAGGCGGUUAGAUAAGUCUGAAGUUAAAGGCUGUGGCUUAACCAUAGUACGCUUUGGAAACUGUUUAACUUGACUGCAAGAGGGGAGAGUGGAAUUCCAUGUGUAGCGGUGAAACGCGUAGAUAUAUGGAGGAACACCGGUGGCGAAAGCGGCUCUCUGGCUUGUAACUGACGCUGAGGCUCGAAAGCGUGGGGAGCAAACAGGAUUAGAUACCCCCGUAGUCCCUGUCUCUUAUACA